rnacentral:rRNA from 1 species
GAUGAACGCUAGCGGCAGGCCUAACACAUGCAAGUCCAGGGAGAGGUUACCUUCGGGUAACCAAAACCGGCGCACGGGUGCGUAACGCGUAUACAAUCUGCCUUUCACAUAGGGAUAGCCCGAAGAAAUUUGGAUUAAUACCUAAUGGUAUAUAAGAGCGGCAUCGUUUUUAUAUUAAAGCUACGGUGGUGAAAGAUGAGUAUGCGUUCUAUUAGCUAGUUGGAGAGGUAACGGCUCCCCAAGGCGACGAUAGAUAGGGGUUCUGAGAGGGAUGUCCCCCACACUGGUACUGAGAUACGGACCAGACUCCUACGGGAGGCAGCAGUGAGGAAUAUUGGACAAUGGUCGGAAGACUGAUCCAGCCAUGCCGCGUGCAGGAUGAAGGUCCUAUGGAUUGUAAACUGCUUUUGUAAGGGAAGAAUAAGGAGUACGUGUACUUUGAUGACGGUACCUUACGAAUAAGCAUCGGCUAACUCCGUG